GUCUUCGUAGCUCAGCUGGUUAGAGCGUCCGACUGUUAGCUCAUGCCGCACAUAUAUCGGGAGGUCGACAGUUCAAUCCUGUCCGAGGACG
rnacentral:tRNA from 2 species